ACAGCAGCAGCCGCGGGAAUACGAAGGGUGCAAGCGUUAAUCGGAAUUACUGGGCGUAAAGCGUGCGUAGGCGGUUUGUUAAGUCUGCUGUGAAAUCCCCGAGCUCAACCUGGGAAUGGCAGUGGAUACUGGCAAGCUAGAGUGUGUCAGAGGAUGGUGGAAUUCCCGGUGUAGCGGUGAAAUGCGUAGAGAUCGGGAGGAACAUCAGUGGCGAAGGCGGCCAUCUGGGACAACACUGACGCUGAGGCACGAAAGCGUGGGGAGCAAACAGGAUUAGAUACCCCCGUAGUCCCUGUCUCUUAUAC
rnacentral:rRNA from 1 species